AAGUUAAAUGAUGAUUUUUAUUGCUUUGUCUGAAUGUCUUUUGGGUAAUGAAGACAUCUUAAGUCACUACCUCUUCUAACACAU